GACUCAGAUGGAUUCCAGAAGAAGCA
rnacentral:piRNA from 1 species